rnacentral:tRNA from 1 species
GCCGGGGUAGCUCAAUCGGUAGAGCGUGUGGCUCUUAACCUCAAGGUCGUGGGUGUAAGUUGAUUAUCACACCACAACCACAAGUUUACAUACUAAUUAUGACUGCAGUCGAGCCCCACCUUCGGCU